UGGGAGCUGUCAGGCACUCUGAUAGUUAACGAUCUCGGUGAUGAGGCUGGAUGCUUCACAAUUAUUAAGUAAUUACCAGCUGCUGAGGCUCACUAAGGCAUUUCUGAAAUAUGAACCUUUAAAAAAAAAAACAACUGACCUGCUGAGGAAACCUGAACAAAAAUUAAUUGAGGUGAAAAGGAGAUUUUUGAGGGGAAAAUCUUCAUGAUUUAUCUUACAGAAGAAUUUCUUAAAAUGAAUGCCUCUUUGGAAAUAGAGAACUGGAAAUUGGGAGAAUGUCCAUCAAUGGAGAAAACUGAACGAAUUGUGGUAUAUGAUGGUGAAGGAAUACUAUUGUGCUGUAAGGAAUGAUGAGCCCGAUGAUUUCAGAAAAAGCUGGAAAGACCUACGUGGACUGAUGCAGAGCAAAAUAAGCAGAAUCAGGAGAACAUUGUACACAGUUAACAGCAAUAUUAUGGAAUGAUCAACUAUGAAAGACUUGGCUACUCCCAGCAAUAUAAUGAUUCAGAACAAUCCUGGAAGAUUUAUGACAAAGCAUGCUCUCCCUUUCCAUAGAAAGAACUUUUGGAAUCUGAUGAAAAUCAAAGCAUUUGUUCCACUUUUAUUAUUGCUUUUAUUUUGGGAUUUUGGCUUUAUAUGAGUGUUCUCUUAAAACAGUGACCAAUGUGGAAGUAUGUUUUGCAUGAUAAUACAUAUAUAACCCAGGUCAAAUUGCUUAUUAUCUCCAGAAGAGGGGAGGAAGGGAGACAAUUUGGAUCUUAUAAUUUUGGAAAAUGUUUGUCGAAAAUUGUUAUUACAUGUAAUUGGGAAAAUGAAAUGUCUUUGAAUAAAGAAAAAAAAAUUA